rnacentral:rRNA from 1 species
UUGAGAGUUUGAUCCUGGCUCAGAACGAACGCUGGCGGCAGGCCUAACACAUGCAAGUCGAACGCACUCUUCGGAGUGAGUGGCAGACGGGUGAGUAACGCGUGGGAACAUACCUUUCGGUUCGGAAUAGCCCCGGGAAACUGGGUGUAAUACCGUAUACGACCUCCGGGUGAAAGAUUUAUCGCCGAAGGAUCGGCCCGCGUUAGAUUAGCUUGAUGGUG